AGCGAACGCUGGCGGCAGGCCUAACACAUGCAAGUCGAGCGCCCAGCAAGGGGAUCGGCAGACGGGAGAGUAACACGUGGGAACGUGCCCUUUGGUUCGGAACAACCAAGGGAAACUUGGGCUGAUACCGGAUAAGCCAUCACGGGGAAAGAUUGACCUCCGAAGGAUCGGCCCGCGUCUGAUUAGCUAGUGUGUGGGGCAAUGGCCCUCCACGGCGACGAUCAGUAGCGGGUCGGAGAGGAUGAUCAGCCUCACUGGGACUGAGACACGGCCCAGACCCCUACGGGAGGCAGCAGUGGGGAAUAUUGGACAAUGGGCGCAAGCCUGAUCCAGCCAUGCCGCGUGUGUGAUGAAGGCCCUAGGGUUGUAAAGCCCUUUCGGCGGGGAAGAUAAUGACGGUACCCGCAGAAGAAGCCCCGGCUAACUUCGUGCCAGCCGCCGCCGUAA
rnacentral:rRNA from 1 species